rnacentral:rRNA from 2 species
UGUUGGCCGGGCGACGGUUGUCCCGGUUUAAGCGUGUAGGUGUGUGUUCCAGGUAAAUCCGGUUCACUUUAACACUGAGGCGUGACGACGAGGCACUACGGUGCUGAAGCAACAAAUGCCCUGCUUCCAGGAAAAGCCUCUAAGCAUCAGGUAACAUCAAAUCGUACCCCAAACCGACACAGGUGGUCAGGUAGAGAAUACCAAGGCGCUUGAGAGAACUCGGGUGAAGGAACUAGGCAAAAUGGUGCCGUAACUUCGGGAGAAGGCACGCUGACACGUAGGUGAAGUGAUUUACUCAUGGAGCUGAAGUCAGUCGAAGAUACCAGCUGGCUGCAACUGUUUAUUAAAAACACAGCACUGUGCAAACACGAAAGUGGACGUAUACGGUGUGACGCCUGCCCGGUGCCGGAAGGUUAAUUGAUGGGGUCAGCGCAAGCGAAGCUCCUGAUCGAAGCCCCGGUAAACGGCGGCCGUAACUAUAACGGUCCUAAGGUAGCGAAAUUCCUUGUCGGGUAAGUUCCGACCUGCACGAAUGGCGUAAUGAUGGCCAGGCUGUCUCCACCCGAGACUCAGUGAAAUUGAACUCGCUGUGAAGAUGCAGUGUACCCGCGGCAAGACGGAAAGACCCCGUGAACCUUUACUAUAGCUUGACACUGAACAUUGAGCCUUGAUGUGUAGGAUAGGUGGGAGGCUUUGAAGUGUGGACGCCAGUCUGCAUGGAGCCGACCUUGAAAUACCACCCUUUAAUGUUUGAUGUUCUAACGUGGACCCGUUACCCGGGUUGCGGACAGUGUCUGGUGGGUAGUUUGACUGGGGCGGUCUCCUCCUAAAGAGUAACGGAGGAGCACGAAGGUUGGCUAAUCCUGGUCGGACAUCAGGAGGUUAGUGCAAUGGCAUAAGCCAGCUUGACUGCGAGCGUGACGGCGCGAGCAGGUGCGAAAGCAGGUCAUAGUGAUCCGGUGGUUCUGAAUGGAAGGGCCAUCGCUCAACGGAUAAAAGGUACUCCGGGGAUAACAGGCUGAUACCGCCCAAGAGUUCAUAUCGACGGCGGUGUUUGGCACCUCGAUGUCGGCUCAUCACAUCCUGGGGCUGAAGUAGGUCCCAAGGGUAUGGCUGUUCGCCAUUUAAAGUGGUACGCGAGCUGGGUUUAGAACGUCGUGAGACAGUUCGGUCCCUAUCUGCCGUGGGCGCUGGAGAACUGAGGGGGGCUGCUCCUAGUACGAGAGGACCGGAGUGGACGCAUCACUGGUGUUCGGGUUGUCAUGCCAAUGGCACUGCCCGGUAGCUAAAUGCGGAAGAGAUAAGUGCUGAAAGCAUCUAAGCACGAAACUUGCCCCGA